GGGGUGGUUUUACGUAGCAACAAAUAAGUAAAUAAAAACAAAAUAAAGAAUUUUACCUACCUAUCCCUAUCUAAUAUUUGGAGAUUAGCUAAAUAUAUUAUCUCUAACCUGUAUCGCUAUGUAACCAUUAAAAGCUAUGAUAUAGAUCUAUAUUUAUAGACACGGACAGAUGUUCAUUCUAUGCAGGUAAAUUAUAUAAGCAUGUUACUAAACUGUGCGCAUAGUUGCUGUUAAAGGUUUAACACAUACUGAGUGUUUGAUUUGUGUGCCAGGCACUUUUCUAAAUUUUCACCUGUUCUAUAAUAUGUAAUUUUCACCACCAAAAAGUAGGUAUUGUUAUUAUUUCCAUUUGAUAGAGGGGGGAAGUUGAGGCACAGAGAGGUUAAGUUACUUCUUUAGCACUGCUAGUAAGUGAUGGAGGUGGGAUUCAAACCCAUGCAGGUGGCUCUUUGGCCCCUGUUCCUAACCUCUGUGCAACAACCGCCUCAUCUUUUUAUUCAAUAUCAUUUUUCAUAGAUACUAUGGAUUAUGCAUGCAUUUGUAUGGGGUUUUUUUUUGCAGAAGAAACAUGGUUAUCUCUGGAUUGUGGAACUAUGAGAGUUUUUCCUUUGGUUUUCUUUCUGUAUACUUGAACUUUUAAAAUUAUCCUAGAAUAAUUUUAUUAUUGUCAUUCUAGAAGAAACAUGUGUAAUAUAAUUUGGAAAAAAUGCAUCAGAAACUUUUAAUGAAAGUGACUAGUUUUGUGACACUUUCAAAUGUUUCAGAAAGAUUUUUAAAUGCUGCAUGUACACAUCUACAAACACAUUUAAUCUAUAAAAGAGAAGUAAAAAUAGAGUUUAGGUGAGAGGUGAAACAGAUCAGACCCAGCUCCUUAGCAGUCUUUUGACAGUUUAUGUUAUUACUUUACAGCAUUAGUUAACAUGUGUGUGCUUUUGCUUUUCCAAUUAAAUUUUAAGUUCUUUGGCAUUCACUGGAAACCCUACUACACACAGUGACUGACAGAUGGGCUGCGUGUCACUCCAUGGAUCCGAUUUGAAGAUUUCAUGGUAACAAGUGGAAUGAACGUGCCACCCUGGGCCUGGGCACUGUGAUGUGUUCUUCUGAUCUCCCUUCAGAACCGAAGGCCUAAUUUUCCCAGCUGCCAGCAGACACCUCUCAACAUGAAGCCUUCUUCAAGGAUUGCUUUGGCGGAAGAGGCUCCUUGCCCAAUACCACUCUCCCUUCCUAAGUGCAGUCUGCAAACCAUGACUGAUAUUCACAAAUGCCUCCACCGCCUGACAUAUAGGAAACCCACUUAUGAAGAUAUUUCCAGGAGGCCACAAGCGUGUUGUCGUGCUUCACCUGGACCAUGUACUGGAGCGGGCCGGUGAUCAUCUUCCUGUUACAG